ACUAUAAGAAACACCUUUCUUGCAUGUUUUUCUUCAUAAAAAACUUGAUUCCAUAUGGCAGUCCUCAAACCUGGCCUCGCAUUUGUAUAACCUCUUGAGUCAUUCAGAGCUGCAGUACACUUACACAUUUGUUAUUGCAAGUGUGCCAGUUAAUGAUAUUUUGCAGAAUGCUGAAGUUCUGUUAUUCCCACUUCAGGUCAGAGAGAUCAAAGUUCUGGUGUUAGAAGCACUUUUAGAUAAAACAUGGUGCAUUCCACGCAUGUCCAGUCUCUAAAGAUAUGAAUGGAGGAAUAGGGUAAAAGGCUGAUAGCUCCUUGGAAAAGAUAGUCAGAAUGUAAUUUUCAAAAGUACUGUGCAUUGUAGUUGUUUUCAUUCUUCAGUUUACCUUUAUUUUUGUUUUCUACUUGUUAUAAAGCCUUUUUCACUUCUUUUUUGGUAUGGAUUAUGUGAACAUUUGAUGCCUGCUGUGUGAAGAUUUUGUCACUAAAACAAUUGCGUCUCAGCAUUUCAGUUGUUCAGGCAGAGCCCUAUAAAUGAUUAUAGCUUUUGGGACUUCCAACUGAUGUUAUUUUAACAUAUGGUAACAGUAUUUGAUAGUUUCCUCUGGGAAUCCCACCCACUGUGUUAGCUGCAAACAGCCAUAUGAAGAAUGCUGUUCUCAUGUUUUAAACACUUGUAAUGCUGUCCCACCCAGUGUAACCUCAAUUUGAGAAUGACUUCUAAUCCAUGAAGUAAGUAGUGGAGCUGUAUGUUCCUGUCUCUCUGAUUUAAAGGUGUUUCUUCCAAUUAAGUUAGUACAGAGCUUGCUCAAUUUUACUCUUAAUAAAAAUACAAUAAUGUAAUUAUUAAAAAAAAAAAAGACAAGCGUUCUAUCUGUUACAUUAUAGAAAUGCACCACUGAGUUGCCUUGAAAGGGGGGUAUAGAAUUCUCUUAGUUCAAUCGAAUAAAGUACGGAGUAUGACAGGAUACAUUUUCCUAAGUGAAACAGAAAAUUGGCUUACGUUAGGUAAAACAUUAAUGGUGGUUUCAUUAAAAUGAAAUCUUAAUGCUGCAGUUCUAUCUACACUGUAAUUUAAGACUAGAAAUCUUUCUAGAAAUUCAGCCCAUCCUGCUGUAAUGCAGGACUGUUUUAGAACAGAAGCAAUUUCAUCAUGGCAUGUGCACGGUUUGCAGAAUUCAGAAGUGUCCCAGGUUAUCCCAUCAUGAUAAUGUAAGAAUCUUUUUAUUUGAUGAGAAUCUUUGGAUGAUUUCUUCAGUAAUGCUUUUCCCCCUCAUUUCCAUACUGCCACUGCUUGCAUUUUGUACCAGAUGCUGUUCUGUCAUGGAAGCAACUGCUUCUUGAUUUAUUUAUUUAUUGUGCCUGAAAACUUGUCUUCCUUUUCUGAGUGUAUUAGUUGGUCCAGUGAAAUCUAUUUCCAAUCUCUUCAAAUCUCAUUAUCCUUUUCAGGUUGGAUAUUAGGAAAAAUGUCUUCUCAGAAAGAGUAGUGUGGCAUUGGAACAGGCUGCCCAGGGAGCUGGUGGAGUCACCAUCUCUGGAGGUGUUCAAGAAAUGCAUAAAUGUGGCACUAUCUAUGAUAGUGGUGACAUGUGGUGACAUAGAGAGACAUGGCCAGGGUGGUGAUGGGCUGACGGUUGGACUAAAUGAGCUUGGAGGUCAUUGUCAACCUUAAUGAUUCUAUGGUCCUUUGGUUCUGCUUCUUCCAUGAUGCAGUUUAAUGGUUGAGUGGAUUUAAAUGGAGGCCAGGAGGGGUAAUGCUUUUUCCUUCUCUGCCCUUGGCAUUACUCUCCCACUGCUGCUCUCAGUGCCGAAGCAGUUUGCUUUGGAGUCAGCUAAACAGCUGUGCUGGAGAAGCAGACCCAGAGGAAACACACAGGUGAGAAGAGAAGGAGCAUCUAUUUGGCUGGCAGCCAUGUCACGGAGCUGCUUGACUGGAUGCCUGCCUGGCCUUGCAAGGUGCCAGCUUCUUGUCUUUACAAAUCCAAAGCAAUCGAGUUGUUGAGGAACAAUGUGGAUUACAAAGGCCUUAAAAGGUGAAGAUAAAGCUUCCACAGUCAAGGGAGUCAGGGCAGUGAAGUUUCCAGGGGAGAUUAAAUGAUUCAGAAAGCAGACUCUCUUGAGGAUGCCUUGCAACAUAUGUUUUGUGGAAAAAAAAUUGCUCCCCUGAAGCUCCCUUGCAAUCUGUAGACCUCCCCAGACUAAACCUAAAGGCCUUCCUUUAAAUAAAGAAGGAGAGCAGGCUCUGAAGGCCAUCAAGGCCUCCAUGCCUCCAUGAAAAGCUUCCUUGUGCCAGUGUGAGAGGGAUGGAGCUGUGGGUGCCAGCAGGAGCACUGCUGCCAGCUGGUUUGGCUUUCCUGUACUCCACAGCUGAGGGAAACCAGCUAAGUUACUGGGGUGUCUGAUACAUACAGAGUCUCAUGUGGUUUUUUGGGCUCUAUCCCAGAUUGCUUUCUGCCUGUCCUGGUGCAGGAAGGUUUCCAGGUGAAACACUUGAUGGAAAAUUCCUGCUAAGGAAGAAAAAGUAGAGGCUUAACCUUUGUAACAGCCUUAAUGGUGGGCUGGGGUCAAACCUGGUAAAGCUGAGGCUUGGAGUGGUGCCAUCCCACUGAGCCUGUGCUGUGUGAGGGACACACGGGUGCUUCUGCUGCUGUCAGGGCACAGGGUGGUGAUGUGGAGAUCCUCACUGGUUGUUCCUUUCUUGCUGCACCAAGUGAUGAUCAGAAGAAAAUCUGAACUCGGCACCAAAGCCAAGCUGAUUGUGGAACUCUGGGAGGGGAGGCCCUGUGAGGGAAAUGCAGAGAGCGACUGAAUCACUUCACCACCCACUGAAAUACUCUGCAGAUAAAGUUGCGUUGUUUAAGCAGAAAGCUCAUGCUGAAAUGAUGUAAUCUUGAAUGUAUAUAGGGGGGAGCACGCAAGAAUUAUUACCUUAAUUAUUAGUGACAGCUUUGGCUGAAUUUGAAAGCGUAUCCUGAAGGCGAAAAGCAAUCCUUGGGUUUACAGGAUUUCUACAUCAGCUCCAGGACUUAUAGGCCUCCUCCGUCAUUGUUUUCCUUCAUUUUUCAUCUUCUAAUUUGGUAACGAUCCUUUCCCGUUGCUAGUGCUCCCGUGCUCUGUUUAUUGGUUGCUCUUCUUAAAAAAAAAUAUCCAGGCUUAGGUUUUCGUGGGAAAAAGAUGUGGAGUAGGGAAACAGAGGAAAGCCUUUGGGGUGAUUUGUGGCAUUUAAUAACGUUUAAUAUUUAAAGAACAUUUAAUAACAAACAAGGCCAACAGCUAUUUUUAAAAGGGUUCAAUUGGCUUAUUUGUAUCAGAAGUAGUGGGGGCCAAAAAAGCUCUUACCCGCUUUGUUGUGAGGCUCAGGGUAUUCUGCCCGUGGUAUUUAUCCCCCUGCUGCGUGCUUUAUCUUCUGCUGGCCUCCGUGGGGGAUUUUAUAACACACUGCUUAUUUCACUCUAUUGCUCUGAGAUGUCAGCACGGUUUUGCACGUGGAAUGUUUUAUAAAUAAAUCAUCAGUUUUCACAAAUCAUUUGUUCUGUGAAGUGGGCAGAGUGUUUUAAAUGGCGUAUAAAUUCAGAGUCGCGAACUUUGAAAUGUGGGUUUGUAGUUUUGACCUGCUGUAGUUAGAAUUUGUGUCCAGGCAGGUACAAAGAGGACACACAGCAGGAGCCUGGCUGUCCAGCAGCUGUAACAGAGACCCAGGAGAUACCAGGAGGUGAGGAGCUGCUGAUGAAUCUAGCUGUCUGGCUGUAUCUGCUGGCCUCUGAAGGCCAUUCCUGCCCCUGUAGGGCUUGGCACUUAAUCUCACUUAAAGCACCUCUGCACCAAUAGUUGUCAGCGUGGCAGGCUCUGGCCACCUCAUAGCAUCCAUCUGGGGGCCUACUGUGACAUUCCUAACUGGGGAAUUUUAAUAGUUCUCUCUGUGUUGCAUUAACACAUAAUUGAGGCUUCACUGGUUGUUUUUGGCAAAGACCCUUUCGGGCUCAGCACUGCAUGGAAAAGGCAUCCGGGCAAUUGCCUCUCUUUUUAAGAGCGGGAUGUACAGGAGCAGUCACACACCUCAUUCCACACUCAAAAUAGCAUAGCUCUUUCUAUGGAAAAGUAAAUUCCCAGUUCCUGAGGGAAGAAACACUGUUGAAUAGCACUGUGUGGACUUCAGUACUGUGUACACUGCAGUGAGGGUGAGCUUCAAGGGACAGUAACAAGGUGGGGUUGUACUCACAGGGCUCCCUACUGAGAACUGGGCUGUUGCAAUUGGUAACCCCAGUGAAAUUCUCCCGCAGACAUUUGCAUCCCGAGCACGCUGUAGACUCCCUUAAACCAUUAUUACAUUUUUUCCCUUCUGCACCUCCCUGCUUCACACCCCUUGUCAGGACCGUUUCUGUUCUGUGCUGGCAAAGUGCUGCCAGCUGCUGAUUGCUACUUCAGGGCAAGGGCAGAUGAUUUUACAUUUCAUAACAAACGUUUCGUAAGAUUUCCUAAACUAAGUUGCUUUUUUUCCUCAGCUCUCUUUACCAAUUGUACAAUUUCCUUUAUUUUCUUUUUUUUUCCACGUUCGCAGCCUCAUAUUUCAGACUAGACUUAAACUCUGAAGCUCCCAGACUUUGGUGUGUGUGUAUUUUCAACAUGCAUUUGUCCCAGCAGUAGCUAAAUUUGCUAGAUGACAUGGGCAGAGUUUUGCAACGCCUCCUGCCCCAGCCCAGACGCACUCUCUCCGGGUGAGGGACUUUGCUGCUCCGUGUUUACAUUUUGUCUCUCACAACGGCAGCUCGUCCUGGCGGAGCCCUUUGGUACUACUGUGCUAUAAAUAAUCUGGCUCUGGUGUACCUGGUAAAUGUUUUUAAGAUUAGUCCGUAAGUGCUUCCAGUGUAAGUGCUUGGGUAUUAUGUUACAGUUAUGUUAUAAUGGCACGGUAUAGUGGAUGCUGUAAGAAAAAUCUUGGUCUAACGUGCUUGGAAAAUUCUUUAAAUGUACCAGUAGGACUUUAUUUUCUGAGAUACAAAGUUUGAGUUCUUCCCUUCAAAGUAGCGUUGUUUCCUUCCAAGCUCUUGGCCUCUUCACGCCACCUCCAGUUAGAUACAGCUCUGAUGCAUGAAGGUUUUUUGUUGUUCCCUCAUUUUCUUUUGACAGUAACUCCAAAAAAAGGCUUUUUUUCAGAGUAGGAAAGUUGUUUAAAUCAUCUUUUCAUUCAGUGUUGUGGUCUCUCUCUUCGUUUCAGCGAUGAGGGACUUGGCAGGGCUGGGCUUCUUUUUUGAUUUGGAAGAUAGCUUUGGUUUGGAACAUCCCAAAAUAAACGAUGUCCAAAAGUUUCCUCUUUGUCUGCUGUGAUUUCAAAGCAAUUUUCAUGGCUCCGUUCAGGACUGCCUAAUAGAAGAAAAUGGAGCAAUAAUUACUGCCCACAGAGAUUCUAACACAGCAGUUAUUUAACUAGGAACUGACAAACAUCUCUUAGAAGUGUUCCCGCUCCCUGAAGAACUGCGGACUUUGAGCCAGGCCCUUCUGCUGGAACUGAGCGCACAGCUCCUGCUGCACUCAGGCAUGCAGAGCAUGGGAAGAGCCGGUGCUGUGUUCGCUGGCUGCUCCUCAGAGCAUCGGCAUUGCCCCACGUGUGCCCCAGGUGGCACGGCUGCUGCACACCAUGCCGUGUGCUCCUUCCAUGCACUCCUAACGAUAUAAAUGAGCCUGUUUGUCCCACUGCAAAACCCACAGCGCUCACUAGGUUCAGACCUCAGGCUUAAACUACUGACUGGAGUAGCUGUAAGUACAUCUGGUGGUCAUUGGCUUUACUCAGGCCAGCUUUUCUUGAAACAAGCAUGGAAUUGUGAAGCAGUACAAAGCAAAGUGAUGCAGGCAGCACAGAGGUCUGUGCACGUGCUUUGUCCAAUGCCACUGCCUGUAUAGCACCUGCCAGCUCACGUUUUGAAAAUAAAAUGCCAAUGGUAGUCGUGUGAACCCAGAGUGAGCCACUGAAGUGGGGUUUUCUGAAGGGCCGCAUUGGUAGGCCUGGCCCAUCCUGGUCAGACUUCUCCUUGCUGGAGGCCGAGUCUGUGAACAUCUGUUCACGUCUGUGAGAGCAGCUACGCGGCUUCUGGACCGCAGCUGCAGAGAUCAACGCCAAGGAAUUUCUAGGCUGGCUCUCGUCCACCUUGGUAACCACCCAUGUCCUUGCAUGAUUCAGGAGGGCAAAAGCCACAGUCUACCAAGCGCAGUCUGUGCAAGGGUUGGAUCUGACAGAAAGUGCUUAGCAGUGUGCCAUCCCCAGCACGAGCUUCUUGCUGCUGUGUUUGGUGGGCAGGGCCGUGCCACCAGCCUGGUAUGGAAGCGAAUGAACCGUGUUCUGCAGCAGAAAGGGAUUUUAUUAACACUUGAGCGAUCUCAUGUGUAAUAUCUCAAAUUAUUCUUCUGGUGGGGGAGCUUCUUAAGGGGGCAAGUACAAAACGUCUGCUGCGAUCAUUGAACAGGAUACGGCAAAGAAAUAGUGACACAUACCAGGUUGCCUGGUCUAACGUAAAGCAAAAAUAAAAAAAUCACGGCCAUUUGUGGAAAAGUAUAUUUGUUGCACUUGUUUUGUUGUUGUUUAAGUUGGUUUGUAUUAAGUGUAUAUCGAGAAGAUUCACAGGAUGGUAGAGUUACUUUUUAUGUUCUGUAAGAAUAAAUUUCAUCUUCUCCUACCGCCUGCCUUUGAGAUGAUAAAAAGAUGUACAAACACCCCGUCUGCACUGCCACCAAUCUUCACAGAGCGGUGAGUGCUUUCCCUUUGAAAAUGUUUUCUAAUGGUCUCUCUGACUAAUGUAUGAUUUAAUUGAAAAACGGAUGCUGCUACGAUGGAAGAAGUUACUUGUGAGCCAAGAGUGAGCCAAGUUGCUACAGGAACGAGGCAAGUUCCCCAGCUCUAUAUGUUGUAUUAACACAAGAACCCCGCUUCUUAUUCUACCCACUAACUGAUAAAGGCUGCCAUUGUAAAAGCCGUGUGUGUUGAUCCAUUUAGCCACUAACCAAACCUGUGCUGAUACAUAGCACCGCUGUUCAAAGGAGAGUGAAGCAUCACAAAAGAACCAAAAACCACCAACAAAAAAACACCCCAAAAAAACAGAAAACAGUUUGUACCAAGAGUGACUUUGACUCACAGCUUUCACCUGCCCUUGCAGGCUGUGGCAGCACAAUGUUGACCAAAGGUUUCUGUCUUUUUGAUGAUGGUGGUUUUCUGCUCCAGCUUAGAGUUAUGUUGGGAGGGUAAAUUGAUUACUGUAAUUGUUCAUUAAUGCACUCUUGUUUUAAUGUACUCCUAGGGUUAUGUUCUUCAGAAUGAUGAUAAAUUAUGGUAGCUGCAAUUAAUGUCACUGCAGUUAAAAGGAUGUCAGCAUUUCUAUUAAUACAGGGUAAUUUUGGGGGGGUUUAUAAUGAAGCUAUUAAAAAUGGCUGAAACUUAAGGUACAGAGUUCCAGCGUGCUUUAUGCACACAAUAUUGCCUUGAUUCUGAUCUAAUCCAUAGAUGUAUCGAAUCUAACAAGAUGAUAAAAAUAGCGUUGAGAGAACCUCUGAAGAUUCACAUCCCGACUUGUGGAUAUGGAAAUAUUGUCACAUGAACGAUGAGGGGACGACCAGAGGGAAACGUGGUGGUGAAGUUUUUCCUUCAGAUGAGAGGUAAUGGAAACAGGGAGGGACUUGUUCUGAGCAGCUGGUGUGACACAGAAGCACCAAGGAGCUGUUGUGUUGAUUGGGAUGCAGGUUGUGCAAGACGUGUCUGCAGAGCGACAGCGUGCUGAGCCUGGCACCUGGGAGUGAUGGCACACCGGGGUCCGCGGGGUGGGACAUAAGGGACAGUCUCCUGACACAGCAAUCUGUUCGGUAUCUCCUCUCUUCCCAAAUAUAGAGUGGUUUUCUGAAAUCAUGACAAAACACUGAGUGAGUACAAAGCAUUAUUACAGCUGUCAGUCCCAGGUAAUGAGAUACACAGAAUCCUUGGUUGUAGCAAUGCUAUCAAUUAUGUGUUUUUUUCCAAAAAUAGAAAUGCUGAGAGCAAAGACAAGGAGCUGAGGCAAGGCUCAGUCUCGCGACUCUCUUGUUCCC
ensembl:lncRNA